UAGAGCAUCCACAAUGGAGCUACUCAUUUUUGAGUACUUAAGUGGGCCCCACAUGUACACAUCAUUCAUUUAUAAUUUUUUUAAUAAUAGUACAUAAUAAGUACCUAAUCCCUCCAACCCAAAACCUCUUCAAAAGUUCUAAAUUGGUCCCACUAGUAGCACAUCUAUCCAAUAACUCAACAUCAUUUUAAAUGGGUCCCACAAAAAUUAUUUAGGUACUAUGUCUUAUUGUAAAACUAGUACCUAUUAGGUACAAUUU
rnacentral:lncRNA from 1 species